UUGUCCAUCUAUAUUGUCGCCUCUGUAACUUUCACGGUACCCUCCAUGAUUACUUCCACCUUGUUGAUCUACCGCCAAUUAUAGUGGUACUUUAAGUAUAUUUCGGCACUUAACGAGUUUGUUUUCUAGAUAUUUUAUAAUUAAUUAUUGUAUUUUCAGUAUUAGUAGGUUAUGAACUAAAUGCUAAUAAAAUAAGCAUUUUUACGCAUCUUUUCCUAUUUCGAUGACCUGUGAGGUCGACUUGGCCUCGCGAGUGACCAAUGGACUAUUUAAGUGUGUAGGAUGUCAAUUCAGGUCCAAGAAUACAAGGGAUGACGACCGAGCCGCGAGACAAGGGAGCCCGAUAGAACAAUGAAGCUGUCAAGGCCGGAAAUACACUUGACGUCAUGAUAAGGAGUUUCCUCUCGUCACGACGACGCGAUGAAAAUAAGAAGGCAUUCACGAUGGCAACGUCGUGACAAUGAGUCUUCCCACGUCAUGACAACACGGCGAUGGUAGGCCAAAAUGUGGCCGAUUCUUUGGACGGCACUUUUGGACAAUUUUCAUAUUGAGACCCUAGCAUUUAUUAGAAUAUUGCAUUAAUUGGUUUCUAAGUGUAUUUAGGGUUGAGUGAUCACCAAGUAGCUCUUGCCUAUAUAAGCUGUAACACCUCAUACCCGAUCCAGUCACCAGACCCGAGUUAUGAGAUGCUACAAACAAACUAGAAUAAACUUGUUCAAUUUAACCACCAACUAUACAUAAUU
rnacentral:lncRNA from 1 species